rnacentral:rRNA from 1 species
UACGUAGGGGGCAAGCGUUGUCCGGAAUCAUUGGGCGUAAAGAGCGUGUAGGCGGCCCGAUAAGUCCGCUGUGAAAGUCCAGGGCUCAACCCUGGGAUGCCGGUGGAUACUGUCGGGCUCGAGUCCGGAAGAGGAGUGUGGAAUUCCGUGGUGUAGCGGUGAAAUGCGCAGAUAUCAGGAGGAACACCUAUAGCGAAGGCAGCUUGCUGGGACGACACUGACGCUGAGGCGCGAAAGCGUGGGUAGCAACAGG